rnacentral:rRNA from 1 species
AGUCAACAUGCCCAGGGGACGUGGAUAACCUCGGGAAACUGAGGAUAAACCACGAUAAGUCACUACUUCUGGAAUGGGUAAUGACUCAAAUCUACAUGGCCCCUGGAUUGGACUGCGGCCGAUCAGGCUGUUGGUGAGGUAAUGGCCCACCAAACCUGUAACCGGUACGGGCUCUGAGAGGAGGAGCCCGGAGAUGGGCACUGAGACAAGGGCCCAGGCCCUAUGGGGCGCAGCAGGCGCGAAACCUCUGCAAUAGGCGAAAGCCUGACAGGGUUACUCUGAGUGAUUUCCGUUAAGGAGAUCUUUUGGCACCUCUAAAAAUGGUGCAGAAUAAGGGGUGGGCAAGUCUGGUGUCAGCCGCCGCGGUAAUACCAGCACCCCGAGUGGUCGGGACGUUUAUUGGGCCUAAAGCAUCCGUAGCCGGUUCUACAAGUCUUCCGUUAAAUCCACCUGCUUAACAGAUGGGCUGCGGAAGAUACUAUAGAGCUAGGAGGCGGGAGAGGCAAGCGGUACUCGAUGGGUAGGGGUAAAAUCCGUUGAUCCAUUGAAGACCACCAGUGGCGAAGGCGGCUUGCCAGAACGCGCUCGACGGUGAGGGAUGAAAGCUGGGGGAGCAAACCGGAUUAGAUACCCGGGUAGUCCCAGCUGUAAACGAUGCAGACUCGGUGAUGAAUUGGC